rnacentral:piRNA from 1 species
UCUGGAAGAAUUGCCUGCAUCAGACAU